ACAGGUAGUACGCCGUGUCCGGGCAACCGGACCGGCUCGGGGUGAAGCCGCGUGAAAGCGCGGCCGGGCAUCUCCAGCCCGAACCCGACAGCUCACCUCGCAGGCGCCGGAGAGGAAAA
rnacentral:sRNA from 1 species